UUUCUGCCCUUUCUGCCCCUUGCUUUCCAGAAUUGUCUCCUUACAUCCAGUAAAUAAGAUGUCAGCCUAAAAACCAUAGGACAUGGGAAGCUAACUGCCAUUUUUUCCUUCAAGGAGCAGGCUUCCCUCUAGACUAUCCCUACUCUCCCUGCUCUUGUGUGCUCCCCAGAGCAUUUGGAUAGUCAUUCUAUGUUCUACUUAGUGCUGAUAAUGUUCAUCGCUGGGAGUAAGAGACAGAUGCUGCUACACUUCCUGAGGUGGUGUUUGCAUUCCAAGAAAAGAAAGGACAGCAAAUGAAAGUACAGGGGUUGUGCCAGCUGAAUUGAUCCCAUUUUAUCAGAAAAACAAGGGCUCACAGGACAGCCACCCUCCUGGGCAACUCAACUUAGAUUUCAUUGGCAAGAAGUGGGUCAUAAUGCAAAGCAGUCUGGCACACUUUAGCCUUGGUCCUCCGCCUUCUGGAUAAAAAAAAUUCAAGCUACCCAGUGAUGGAAUCAUUCCUGCUUUCUGACAGCAACCAGUCCAGAGCAACUGUCCACUUUCUUAGAUUUUCUCCAAAACCACUCAGCAUGAACUUAAAUCCUUAAAAAAAAAAAAAAAAAAAGCCCCUCCUGAGAUGUUACCACCC